UUUACCUGGUNGAUCCUGCCAGUAGUCAUAUGCUCGUUUCAAAGAUUAAGCCAUGCAUGUCUGAGUACAGCCUUUCCUUAGUGUGAAACCGCAAACUGCUCCAUAAACAAGUCUUAACACUACUUGGUGACGAGUUAUUCAUAUUCGGAUAACUGUGGCAAUUCCAGAGCUAAUACGUGCAAUUAAGUUCUGACGCUACGCUUCUUCGAAGCUAUGGCGAAAGGGCGCAAUUAUUAGGUCCGCAAACCGAGGACCCGCUCUUAGCGUACGAGCCUCUCGUAGGCUCAGCUUUGAACGGUAAUCUAUUGGGAUGUGGUGACUCCGGAUAACAUUGCCAAGCGAAUUGGCUUACGCCGUCGCAAUACCAAUUGUGAGACUUACUUAUCAGGCUAUGGAUUGUAGGGUAAGGGCCUACGAUGGCUGUCACGGGUGACGGGGAAUCAGGGUUCGAUUCCGGAGAGKKWGCCUGAGAGAUGGCUGACACAUCUAAGGAAGGCAGCAGGCGCGCAAAUUACCCACUCCCGGCUUGGGGAGGUAGUAACGAGAAAUAACGAUGCAAGACUCUUCCGAGGCCUUGCAAUCGGAAUGAGUUUAGCAUAAAUCCUUAAACAAGGAUCUAAUAGAGGGCAAGUCUGGUGCCAGCAGCCGCGGUAACUCCAGCUCUAUUGGCGUAUAUUAGAAUUGUUGCGGUUAAAAAGCUCGUAGUUGGACCUCCGGUCUAUUCCGAGGUUUACGCACCUAGGAGAGUAAGUAAACCGUGAAGGCUAUCACGCGGUGAGUGGGCAGUUCUCCCGAUGAAGUUCCUUGUGCCUCAGUAGUUGUUCUGGUGUAGUUGGGGAUAACUCGCGUGGCGACUCGGUUUCGGCCGGCCGUCCGCGUUGUUACUCCUCCGUUACAUUCGGCUUGAGGUUACACGUGACACGGAAUCGAGUUAACCAUCCCACGAAUCGUAGGCUGACGCGGCGAAAGCUACCUAGAACUGCGUAUUCCAGAGGCUAUGGGUAAUGUUUUGUGUCGGUUCUCGCGUGAUGCUCUUUACCGGGUGUCACGCGCGGCUGAUCACGUUCACUUUGAGAAAAUUAGAGUGCUCAAAGCAGGCUAUAACUGCCUGAAUGUAAGUGCAUAGUAUGAUGGAACACGACCUCGGUUCUUUGAUUUUUCGUUCUCGGUUUCAAGGUACCGAGGUAAUGAUUAAAGGGGACGGACGGGGGCAUUAGUACUGCGGGGCGAGAGGUGAAAUUCUUGGACCCUCGCAAGACUACCUAUAGCGAAAGCAUUUGCCAAGAACGUCUCUAUUAAUCAAGAACGAAAGUUAGAGGAUCGAAGGCGAUCAGAUACCGCCCUAGUUCUAACCAUAAACUAUGCUGUCCAGUUAUCCGCUUGGUCAAUAGCCAUGACCUCGCGGGAGGCCCCCGGGAAACCCAAAGAUUUUGAGUUCCGGGGGUAGUAUGGUCGCAAGACUGAAACUUAAAGGAAUUGACGGAAGGGCACCACCAGGAGUGGAGCCUGCGGCUUAAUUUGACUCAACACGGGGAAACUCAUCAGGCCCGGACACUAUAAGGAUUGACAGAUUGAAGCUCUUUCUUGAUUCGGUGGAAGGUGGUGCAUGGCCGUUCUUAGUUGGUGGAGUGAUUUGUCUGGUUAAUUCCGAUAACGAACGAGACUCUAGCCUGCUAACUAGUCGGUGGAUCGUUACCCUAGUCGGUUCGCUUCUUUUGCGCCGUAGCUGGUUAGGUGGCGUUCCGUGAAGGUGUUCGACGCGUUCGAAGCUCGUUUUAGCCCUCGGGCGAGCGUGCGGAGGCGCGUAACGGCCUUUUUCGGGCGUCUCCCCACGCUGCGGUUGCGGGUGGUGCUCGGCUAGGGGCGUUCAUCGUAUUUCUUCUUAGAGGGAUUGUCGGUUCGUAGCCGUAAGAGAAUGAGCAAUAACAGGUCUGUGAUGCCCUUAGAUGUCCUGAGCUGCACGCGCGCUACAAUGAUUGUAGCAACGUGCUUUCCUUCUCCGAAAGGAGUGAGUAACCCCGUGAAUUGCAAUCCCGCUUGGGAUUGGGGAUUGCAAUAUUUCCUCAUGAACGAGGAAUGCCUAGUAAGCGCAGGUCAAAAGCUUGCGUUGACUAAGUCCCUGCCCUUUGUACACACCGCCCGUCGCUACUACCGAUUGGAUGAAGUAUCAAAGACGUUGGACCGUGGCCCCUUAGUUGCGUACAAUGCGUGCGUAUACGGCGGGAUUGCUGAAAGGCGUCUGAGGUAGCUUAUCUAGAGGAAGUAAAAGUCGUAACAAGGUCUUCGUAGGUGAACCUCGGGAAAAGGAUCA
rnacentral:rRNA from 1 species